GUCUUCGGCCAUGCCACCCUGAACAAGCCCUAUGUCUGAUCUUGGAAGUUAAGCAGGGUCGGGCCUGGUUAGUACUUGGACGGGAGACCAGCUAGGAAGACCAGGUGCCAUAGGCA
rnacentral:rRNA from 1 species